AUUGAACGCUGGCGGUAUGCCUAACACAUGCAAGUCGAACGAGGUAGCAAUACCUAGUGGCGGACGGGUGAGGAAUACGUAGGGAUCUGCCCUUAAGUGGGGGAUAACCCGGGGGAAACCCGGAUUAAUACCGCAUGAUCUCGCAAGAGCAAAGAGGGGGACCGCAAGGCCUCUCGCUUUUUGGAGGAACCUACGUCGGAUUAGCUAGUUGGUGAGGUAAUGGCUCACCAAGGCGACGAUCCGUAACUGGUCUGAGAGGAUGAUCAGUCACACCGGAACUGAGACACGGUCCGGACUCCUACGGGAGGCAGCAGUGGGGAAUAUUGGACAAUGGGCGAAAGCCCGAUCCAGCAAUACCGCGUGUGUGAAGAAGGCCUUCGGGUUGUAAAGCACUUAAGUUAGGGAAGAAAAAGGACUUACACCUAAUACGUAGAAGCCUUGACGGUACCGACAGAAUAAG
rnacentral:rRNA from 1 species